AGGUGCCGGAGCUGGAGCCUGCACCGUCCGGAAGACGGACUACGCUUUCGAGAUGGCGAGCUCCAACAUCAGAUACGGAGAAGGAGUCAGCAGGGAGAUCGGCAUGGACCUAAAAAACCUUGGAGCCCGUAACGUGUGUCUGAUGACGGACAAGAACUUGUCCCGCCUCGCUCCAGUGAAGGCCGUCCUGGAGUCUCUGGUCCAGAACGGAGUCACGUACAAAGUGUACGACAACGUGCGGGUGGAGCCCACCGACUC